rnacentral:rRNA from 1 species
UACGUAGGUGGCGAGCGUUGUCCGGAUUUACUGGGCGUAAAGAGCGCGCAGGCGGUCGUACAAGUCGCGUGUGAAAGCCCCCGGCUCAACUGGGGAGGGUCACGCGAUACUGUUCGACUCGAAGGCAGGAGAGGGAAGUGGAAUUCCCGGCGUAGUGGUGAAAUGCGUAGAUAUCGGGAGGAACACCAGUGGCGGAGGCGACUUCCUGGCCUGUUCUUGACGCUGAGGCGCGAAAGCUAGGGUAGCAAACGGGAUUAGAAACCCGGUA